rnacentral:lncRNA from 1 species
UCAAUCUCCCUGGACAUUCUAUAACAGAUUUAGAAGUAGCUAUACUUGAACAAAAAAACUUCAGAAACAGACUUCAAAGAGAAACAGCAGAACUAAAAUUCAUUUGCAAAUUUAACACCAUUAAUUUGGGCUUGAAUAGGGACUGGGAGUGGCUGGCUCAUUACAAAAGCAGCUUUGCCUCUCCUGGAAUUGAUACCUCCUCAUCUAUUAUUGGGAGUGGACUACAUCCACCCUGAUCAAAUUGGCCCUGUCAACACUGGUUCUCCACUUGUGAGGUAACUCCCUUCUCUUCAUGUGUCAUUAUAUAAUGCCUGCAUCUGUAAUUUUUACUCCAUGCAUCUGAAGAAGUGAGGUUUUUUUACCCAUGAAAGCUUAUGCUCAAAUAAAUCUGUUAGUCUUUAAGGUGCCACCGGACUCCUUGUUUUUGAAGAUAUUACUCUUUUAGUCUGGACUGCACACCUGACAUCAGCCAUACGGAACAAAUGACUUUAAUGGUGCGUUUUGUAACAACAACAGAACCUAGUGAAAAUGUCUCUACAAUGGUGACUGUCAGAGAGCAUUUUCUAGAAUUUAUUGACAUUGAUGAUACUACAGGAGCUGGUAUGACAAAUGUGCUUCAAAGCCGGAAGAUACGGGAAUUGCGAUAGCUGACAUGAGAGGUCAGGGCUACGAUAAUGGUACCAACAUGAGAGGAAAGAACAGAGGAGUGCAGACACAGAUCUGAGAGUUAAACCCUCGAGCUUUUUUUGUCCCAUGCAGUUCUCAUUCUUUGAACUUGGUGGUCAGUGAUGCAGCAUCAGCUUCUAGUGAGGCUGCUGAAUUUUUUAAAUGUAAUUCAAAGCAUCUAUGUAUUUUUCUCUGCAUCAACUCAUCGAUGGCAAAUUUUGAAGCAACAUCUGGGAACAUCCUCUCUGACACUGAAACCACUGAGUGCCACACGAUGGGAAAGUCGAGUGGAGGCGAUAAAGCCUAUCAAACACGAAAUUGGGAAGAUAGAUGAUACCAUAGUAUUAUCCUCCAUAAUGGCAACUAUGACAGGAACUGUUCAUGGGAGAACAAUGGCAGAGGGAAAUGGAAUCACCAGAAACAUACAUAACUUCAAAUUUCUCUAUGGCUUAGUGUUGUGGCGUGACAUACGGUUUGAAAUAAAUAUUGUAAGCAAGAGACUCCAAGCUGUUGACCUUGAUAUAUCUGGAGCAAUGGAACAACUGGACAAAGCAAAGUCAUACCUACAUUCUUACCAGUCAGG